GAAAGUGAAAGGUGGGCGUCCCGGGGCUUCCUUCACGGGGGCCCCGGUCGGCGCCCUCCGGGGCCGAUCCUCGACAGACCGUCGCCGCCGGUGUCUCUUCCCACACCAAAGCGGGGCCAAGACGGGAGCGGUGCGGGGUGAGACCCUUUCCCCCGUCGUCCGACUCCCGGCCCCGUGGGUACCCGGCGAGCGCGGCAGUCCGGUGGUCCCUCCCCUCUCGGGGGGAGGUGGCCUCCGCCUGUACGCAGGGGGGCGCAGGCCCGGGACUUGCCAUGAGACGCCGUCGCGCAAAUCUGUUGUUGGCCUCGCCGGCUCUGCUUGGGCUCUCGGUUGGCGGGCCGCGCGUCAGGCGGGCUUUA
rnacentral:rRNA from 2 species